UAUAAUGGGGAAUAUACACUAAUCAUUCAUAGCUCAAUGGGACACUAUUCGAGGAGUAUCAAUGUGUAUAUCGUUGUUCCCACAUCAUGUUUAUCGAUGAAAACGUUCAACAUAUCUUCUACUAAAACGGUUCCACUCAGCUUCUUUCACCGACAACAUUGUCAACUAUUGCGAAAUCAAGUGUCUUUGCCUCUACAAACGGUUCCUCACUAAAUACCAAAAAUUAUACAACAAUCAUCGGUUUUAUUACUGGCACUGUUGUGGGCGUGGUUUUUCUUGUCACCAUUUUUUCUGUCAUCUUUUAUUGUUAUUUAAAGCAAAAAAAUGAACAACGAUAAGUGAUUUAUUCAUUAUAAUUGCCUUUGUAUGAUCUUUGAUAUUUAAACUUUACCUCAACAAACAAAUACAACAUCUUGACACUAUCUGCGACCUUUAAAUAACAAUUAUGACUUAUCAUUUUUGUCUAUUUUCUAUAUAGGUUUUUUCUUUUCUUUUAUAAAACCUAACACAAACAUUAUGUAUUAUCUUAAUCAACUGUAAAUAAUUAUUCAUAACUAUUUGACACUUCCGCUUUAUCACUAUAUACUUAUUAUCGUGUUAACUUCCUAUAUUGAUUCACUUCGCACUGAAGAUGGCAUAAGUAUGCCAAGACAUGUUUUCUCUAAAUAAAUUUGUCGUGUAUUGUGAA